rnacentral:rRNA from 1 species
GACGAACGCUGGCGGCGUGCUUAACACAUGCAAGUCGAACGAUGAAGCUAGAGCUUGCUCUGGUGAAUUAGUGGCGAACGGGUGAGUAACACGUGAGUAACCUGCCCCGAACUCUGGGAUAACUGCUGGAAACGGUAGCUAAUACUGGAUACGACCUACGAAGGCAUCUUCUGUAGGUGGAAAGAAUUUCGGUUCGGGAUGGACUCGCGGCCUAUCAGCUUGUUGGUGAGGUAAUGGCUCACCAAGGCGACGACGGGUAGCCGGCCUGAGAGGGUGACCGGCCACACUGGGACUGAGACACGGCCCAGACUCCUACGGGAGGCGGCAGUGGGGAAUAUUGCACAAUGGGCGCAAGCCUGAGGCAGCAACGCCGCGUGAGGGAUGACGGCCUUCGGGUUGUAAACCUCUUUUAGUAGGGAAGAAGCGAAAGUGACGGUACCUGCAGAAAAAGCACCGGCUAACUACGUGCCAGCAGCCGCAGUAA